AUUCUUAGAGAGGGCUUUUGAACUCUUGACAUAAUUUUUUUUUCUCUUUCUUUUUUCACUCUGCAAAUGGAAAAUUAUUCAUUCAGAAAGAUCGGGGUGAGACACAGAGAGUUUCUCCGAAUCUUACAACAUGGCCUCUCUCUCGGUAUGACUGGCACAAACGCCUGAAUGUGUGUGUGUGUGUGUGUGUGUGUGUGUGCCACGCCGAAGGGCCCCCGACCGGUGAGCAGGUGUGUGUGAAGGAGGAGAGCGUUGAGGUGAAAGGUGAGUGUUCCCCCUCUUGUGUUUCUGGAGCCGUGUUGUUCUAAGAAGCUCACUUGUGAUCCCACAUCGGCUGCGUAUGUGUGUGUGUGUGUGUGUGUGAUGAAUUGUUCUGUUUAAGCCGGCCCCGCAAAAACCCAGCAGUCCCCUCCCCCUCAGCCACACUCCGGUGCGUCUUUGAUCGCGCACCCACUGUGGGUGACCCGACACCUCUGCAACAAGUCUCGCUGGAGAGAGAAACUAAUGUGAAAGUCACCCGUCAAACCAUUUUGUAACCUUCUGUCAUUUAGACAGCUGAUGUCGGUGCCUACGCGCCUCUCUCAUGCCCUUUUUUAAUAAAAACAACAAAGAUGUUGUGGUGGCGUUCAUGAGAAGGUUUCCACGGUACCUCUGCUGUUGGCUUCCCUCCUCCACUGAGCAACACGCACACAAAUAAUUUACAAAAAAAGUCUCUCAAUGAGUUUUAAGAAUUCAGAUUGUUCGAGGCCAGCGGUGCUAAAAAACAGUUUGACACUUUAACCUACUUUAGGAGUCUCGCGUUUGGAUUUCUCCUUCAAAAAAAAAAAAAAAAAAAAUGACACUCUUAACUGGAUGCCUGCAGAGAGAGAGAGGAGGAAGAAAAAGAGAGCGCCAUCUCUUCCGUAAUUAGAAAUGCAAAGAGACGUACUGUGCCGACAUUUACUCCGGCGGUUCGGUCCAGGACGGGUACGAGUGAAACAGAGCUGGAGCGAAGCCCGAGAGAGAGACAGAGAGAGAAGCUCAGGUGUUCACUGUCUCUACAAGCUGCUGAUGUGAAUGAAGAUUAUAGAAAAGUAACCCUGACUGUGCUGGAAGACAAAUUGCAGCCUGUUAUUACCACAACCAAGACAUGAAGUUACACAUUAUUAGUGGAAGAAACAUUGUAAGAAGUGACAGUGACACUACACAGGUGUGUAAACCUGCACCUGGUCGGGCUUUUCUACUUAAAAAAAAGGUAAUAAAAUAUCAUCCUUACCAUCGCACCUCGUCACAUACAGCUGUAAAAAUGGACAUUAUGCUUAUUUUCACUGUACAAUCAGCCUGGGUUGAAUCAUAAUAAAUAAAUAAAAACA